UUGCUAGCUUUGCUUCAUCUCCAAAGCCUCUAUCUAACUUGGUUGGGUUUUAAAAACUUUGCUUCUUGUGAUCCCCUCUCUGCGCGGCUCUCCGGAUUUAUUGCAGAGAUCUUUCAGAAAGACGUCGCAGAGAGAGAGAAAGGCAUUUUACAUUUUUGAAGAAAGAAAUGGCGGUCUCAAGGGUUUCUUUUGGAGUUUUGGCCGUUGCUUUUGCUCUCAUUUUUGUCAUUGCCUUGCCCGCUGUUCAGGCCCUUUCCUCUGCUUCAGCUCCUGCACCCACCAGCGACGGUCGUAAUUAAUAACACUUGCUUCUCUCUCUCUCUUUUUGGCAUAUGUAGAUCUCAGGGACAUCAAUUGACCAAGGAAUUGCCUAUGUGUUGAUGUUGGUGGCGCUGGUGCUCACUUACCUAAUUCAUGCCGCCGACUGGACUUGCACCUUGUAAAUGGCAUCAAUUUAUGGGGUUUUGAAUUCGAUUAAUUUGUUAUCUUGUUGAGCUUAGUGCUGUUGGUACUGUUAUCAUCUUUCUAGAAGUUAGGGUAAUGACGAAUCAAACCGUUGAGCAAUAUCAUAAAUCGAAUUGUUAUGAUCGAUUAAUUGUUGACCA